rnacentral:rRNA from 1 species
UACGAAGGGGGCUAGCGUUGCUCGGAAUCAUUGGGCGUAAAGGGCGUGUAGGCGGUUUGUUAAGUCAUGUGUGAAAUCCCUCGGCUCAACCGGGGAAGGACGCAUGAAACUGGCAAGCUAGAGUACCAAAGAGGGGGGUGGAAUUCCCGGUGUAGCGGUGAAAUGCGCAGAUAUCGGGAGGAACACCAAUGGCGAAGGCAGCUCGCUGGGACGGUACUGACGCUGAGGCGCGAAAGCGUGGGGAGCAAACAGG